GGAAAAGGAUGUGGGAUUUCGAAGACAACUAGGAUGUUGGCUCAGAAGCAGCCAUACAUUCAAAGAGUGCGUAACAGCUCACUAGUCGAGAGUCCCUGCGCCGAAAAUGUCCGGGGCUGAAACACAACACCGAAGCCGUGGACUCCGUAAGGAGUGGUAGAGGAGCAUUCUUAAAACCGACGAAGCUGUACCGGUAAGGAGCAGUGGAGGGAUAAGAAGAGAGAAUGCCGGAAUGAGUAGCGAGAGGAAGGUGGGAAUCCUUCCGGCCGAAUAUCUAAGGUUUCCAGAGUAAAGCUGAUCUGCUCUGGGUAAGUCGGGGCCUAAGGAGAGGUCGAAAGACGUAUCCGAUGGACAACAGGUUUAGAUUCCUGUACCACAUAUAAACAGAACUGUGGGGACGCAUGUGGAAAGCAUAAGCCGGGAAUGGAAAGACCGGUACAAGCGGGGUAGGUGUGUGACAGGCAAAUCCGUCAUAUAAGCCGAAGACGUGAUGUGGAGCGAAAUUAAGUAGUGAAGUAUGUGAGCCAUGUGCCGAGAAAAGCCGCUAUUGUUUUAUAUGUGCCCGUACCGUAAACCGACACAGGUGGAUGAGGAGAGAAUCCUAAGGCCGACGGAAGAAGCAUUGUUAAGGAACUCGGCAAAAUGACCCCGUAACUUCGGGAGAAGGGGUGCCCUGUGAAAGCAGGGCCGCAGAGAAUAGGCUCAAGCAACUGUUUAGCAAAAACACAGGUCUAUGCGAAACCGAAAGGUGAGGUAUAUGGGCUGACGCCUGCCCGGUGCUGGAAGGUUAAGAGGAGAGGUUAGCGCAAGCGAAGCUUUGAAUUUAAGCCCCAGUAAACGGCGGCCGUAACUAUAACGGUCCUAAGGUAGCGAAAUUCCUUGUCGGGUAAGUUCCGACCCGCACGAAAGGCGUAAUGAUUUGAGCACUGUCUCGACAAUGCAUCCGGUGAAAUUGAAGUACCAGUGAAGAUGCUGGUUACCCGCGCCAGGACGGAAAGACCCCAUGGAGCUUUACUCCAGUUUGGUACUGGGAUUCGGUACUGCAUGUACAGGAUAGGUGGGAGACUGAGAAAUUGGAACGCCAGUUUCAAUGGAGUCACUGUUGGGAUACCACCCCUGCAGUAUUGGGUUUCUAACCAGCCGCUGUGAUCCAGCGGUGGGACAAUGCCAGGCGGGGAGUUUGACUGGGGCGGUCGCCUCCGAAAGGGUAUCGGAGGCGCUCAAAGGUUCCCUCAGAAUGGUUGGAAACCAUUCGAAGAGUGCAAAGGCAGAAGGGAGCUUGACUGCGACACCGACGGGUGGAGCAGGUACGAAAGUAGGACUUAGUGAUCCGGUGGUAUAAAGUGGGAUUGCCAUCGCUCAACGGAUAAAAGCUACCCUGGGGAUAACAGGCUUAUCACUCCCAAGAGUUCACAUCGACGGAGUGGUUUGGCACCUCGAUGUCGGCUCAUCGCAUCCUGGGGCUGUAGCAGGUCCCAAGGGUUGGGCUGUUCGCCCAUUAAAGCGGUACGCGAGCUGGGUUCAGAACGUCGUGAGACAGUUCGGUCCCUAUCCGGCGCGGGCGUAGGAUAUUUGAGAGGAGCUGUCCUUAGUACGAGAGGACCGGGGUGGACUGGCCUCUGGUGUAUCUGUUGAGCUAUCAAGCUCAUGGCAGAGUAGCCAAGCCGGGACGGGAUAAACGCUGAAGGCAUCUAAGCGUGAAGCCCCCCUCAAGAUGAGAUAUCCCUCAGAAAUGAGUAAGACCCCUUGA
rnacentral:rRNA from 1 species